UACGGAGGGGCAAGCGUUGUUCGGAAUUAUGGUGCGUAAAGGGCGCGCAGGCGGCUGCUCAAGUCAGGCGUGAAAGGCCUGGGCUCAACCCGGGAAUUGCGCUUGAGACUGGGCUGGCUUGAGUGCGGGAGAGGAUGGUGGAAUUCCCAGUGUAGAGGUGAAAUUCGUAGAUAUUGGGAAGAACACCGGUGGCGAAGGCGGCCAUCUGGACCGCAACUGACGCUGAGGCGCGAAAGCGUGGGGAGCAAACAGG
rnacentral:rRNA from 1 species